GCUCCCUUCGGCUGCAUUAACAUUGGAAUGAUACAGAGAAUAUUAGCACGGCCACUGAGCAAGGAUGACCCACAAACUCGUGAAGUGUUUAAUUUAAAA
rnacentral:snRNA from 1 species